rnacentral:rRNA from 1 species
CACGGGGGGAGCAAGCGUUGUUCGGAAUCACUGGGCGUAAAGGGCGUGUAGGCGGUCAAGUAAGUGGAAUGUGAAACGCCUCGGCUUACCCGAGGACCUGCAUCCCAAACUGCUUGGCUUGAGUAUGGGAGAGGAUGAGGGAAUUCCUGGUGUAGCGGUGAAAUGCGUAGAUAUCAGGAGGAACACCUGUGGCGAAAGCGGCUCACUGGACCACAACUGACGCUGAGGCGCGAAAGCUAGGGGAGCAAACAGG